UUAGCGGCGGACGGGUGAGUAACACGUGGGUAACCUACCUAUAAGACUGGGACAACUUCGGGAAACCGGAGCUAAUACCGGAUAAUAUGUUGAACCGCAUGGUUCAAUAGUGAAAGAUGGUUUUGCUAUCACUUAUAGAUGGACCCGCGCCGUAUUAGCUAGUUGGUGAGGUAACGGCUCACCAAGGCAACGAUACGUAGCCGACCUGAGAGGGUGAUCGGCCACACUGGAACUGAGACACGGUCCAGACUCCUACGGGAGGCAGCAGUAGGGAAUCUUCCGCAAUGGGCGAAAGCCUGACGGAGCAACGCCGCGUGAGUGAUGAAGGUCUUAGGAUCGUAAAACUCUGUUAUUAGGGAAGAACAAACGUGUAAGUAACUGUGCACGUCUUGACGGUACCUAAUCAGAAAGCCACGGCUAACUACGUGCCAGCAGCCGCGGUAAUACGUAGGUGGCAAGCGUUAUCCGGAAUUAUUGGGCGUAAAGCGCGCGUAGGCGGUUUUUUAAGUCUGAUGUGAAAGCCCACGGCUCAACCGUGGAGGGUCAUUGGAAACUGGAAAACUUGAGUGCAGAAGAGGUAAUAGUGGAAUUCCAUGUGUACGGUGAAAUGCGCAGAGAUAUGGAGGAACACCAGUGGCGAAGGCGACUUUCUGGUCUGUAACUGACGCUGAUGUGCGAAAGCGUGGGGAUCAAACAGGAUUAGAUACCCUGGUAGUCCACGCCGUAAACGAUGAGUGCUAAGUGUUAGGGGGUUUCCGCCCCUUAGUGCUGCAGCUAACGCAUUAAGCACUCCGCC
rnacentral:rRNA from 1 species